rnacentral:rRNA from 1 species
AUGGCACUAUGUUUUGGCAUAUUACUUGCACAAAAGGCGGGAAGCAACCGACUUGUUGUUAACUCCGACAAUUCGGAAGUAAUUGACACAAUGAAGAAUGGAGGACAUACAGCGGGAGCGGCGGCAGCUGUGUUUGAUGAUUGUUAUUUUAUGGCUUGUGAUUUUUCGCUAGUUAGAUUUGAACAUUGUAACAGGAAGGCAAAUAAAGUAGCUCAUGAAGCUAGAGUAGCUAAUUUUUCUAAGACAAGGGAUUGGUUUGAGGAACCUAUGAGUGAUAUUGUAAAUUUUUUUAUAGACGAUGUAACCAUUAUUACUAAUAAAUAA